CUGCUUGCUGAUCAGGGCGGCACACAGAGCACUCACCAUGAAGUAUGAACUGAGCUGGGUUUUCCUUGUUGCUAUUUUAAAAGGUGUCCAGUGUGAGGUGCAGCUGGUGGAGUCUGGGGGAGGCUUGGUUCAGCCUAGGGGGUCGCUGAGACUCUCCUGUGCAGCCUCUGGAUUCACCUUCAGUAGCUAUGCCAUGAGCUGGGUCCGCCAGGCUCCUGGGAAGGGGCUGGAGUGGGUCUCAGCUAUCAGUACUGAUGGGAGUGGCACAAGCUAUGCAGACUCCGUGAAGGGCCGAUUCACCAUCUCCAGAGACAACGCCAAGAACUCGCUGUAUCUGCAGAUGAACAGCCUGAGAGCAGAGGACACCGCCGUGUAUCACUGUGAGAGAGACACAGGUGGAUACACCUUUUGUUCCCAGGUGCUCUAUGAAUGGGCAACUCUGCCAUCUCAGGGCUCUGAUCGCCAGCUAAGAGGGCUCCCAGACCAGUGGCUUUUGUAG